AUUGAACGCUGGCGGCAGGCCUAACACAUGCAAGUCGAACGAGUGGCGGACGGGUGAGUAAUGUCUGGGAAACUGCCCGAUGGAGGGGGAUAACUACUGGAAACGGUAGCUAAUACCGCAUACCAUCGGAUGUGCCCAGAUGGGAUUAGCUAGUAGGUGGGGUAACGGCUCACCUAGGCGACGAUCCCUAGCUGGUCUGAGAGGAUGACCAGACAAACAGAAACUGAGACACGGUCCAGACUCCGACGAAAGGCAGCGGUGGGGAAUAUUGCACAAUGGGCGCAAGCCUGAUGCAGCCAGUCAGCGUGUAUGAAGAAGGCAUUCGGGUUGUAAAGUACUUUCAGUGAGGAGGCGUUACUAGCAGAAGAAGCACCGGCUAACUCCGUGCCAGCAGCCGCGGUAAUAG
rnacentral:rRNA from 1 species